AAAGAGGAUCUGCUGCGUUCGUGCCCACACUGUGUCUUCCCUUCCUCAAGCUGCAAGGGCAGCGUUCUUCCCUUCUUCACACCUGGCGCUGAAUCCCAUUCGCUGACCUGCCCUCACUUCCUCUCAAGCUGCCCAAUGGCAGCACUCUCCUGCGUUUCUUGUCACGCUGCAUACUGGCAGCUCUCCUCUCUCUAGCUCUCGCUGACUCC
rnacentral:lncRNA from 1 species